UUAAAAUGCACACAUUUGUUGCUGAAAGUAAAGUAUACAAGGUUAAUGCAAGUUUACACAAGUGUUAGAUUUUACAGUGCAGCAGUAUAUAUGAAAAUGUA